rnacentral:misc_RNA from 1 species
GCAAGCUUUUAACUAUUGGUGAUUUGGAUAAUUUUGUUUUCAAAUUUCAAUUAGUGCUGUUUCACUGUGACUUUUGGGCUCUUAUUGGUUGUGGUUAGCAAAAGUUUACGCCAUCAGAUAUUAGAGACCUUAUUUUUAAGGUGGGUCGUGUUUGGCUGCUUGGAAAUGGGACGUUGGCCAGUCUAAUUUCAAAUUCUUUGCAAGCGAACAAGGCCUUUGAUAUUGGAAUAGUGUUGGAAUUUCCUG